GGGGCUGAAUGGAAAUUUCUGAUU
rnacentral:misc_RNA from 1 species